rnacentral:rRNA from 1 species
AUUGAACGCUGGCGGCAGGCCUAACACAUGCAAGUCGAGCGGAUGAAGGGAGCUUGCUCCUGGAUUCAGCGGCGGACGGGUGAGUAAUGCCUAGGAAUCUGCCUGGUAGUGGGGGAUAACGUCCGGAAACGGGCGCUAAUACCGCAUACGUCCUGAGGGAGAAAGUGGGGGAUCUUCGGACCUCACGCUAUCAGAUGAGCCUAGGUCGGAUUAGCUAGUUGGUGGGGUAAAGGCCUACCAAGGCGACGAUCCGUAACUGGUCUGAGAGGAUGAUCAGUCAAAUAGGAAUUAAGACGCGGUCCAGGCCCCGCGGGGAGGCAGAAGUGGGGAAUUUUGAGAGAGGGGCGAAAGCCGCACCCAGCCAUGCGGCGGGUGUAAAGAAGGUUUUAGGUUUGUAAAGCCUUUUAAGUUGGGGGGAGGGGAGGUAAGUAAAAUCCUUGCUUUUUGGACGUUCCCAAAAGAAAGAGCCGCGGCAAAUUUCGG